GCCGAAGUGGCGGAAAUGGCAGACGCAGCGGACUCAAAAUCCGCCGCCCAGCGAUGGGCUUGUGGGUUCGACUCCCACCUUCGGCA
rnacentral:tRNA from 1 species